rnacentral:rRNA from 1 species
UACGGAGGGAGCUAGCGUUGUUCGGAAUUACUGGGCGUAAAGCGCACGUAGGCGGCUUUGUAAGUUAGAGGUGAAAGCCCGGGGCUCAACUCCGGAACUGCCAUUGAAACUGUUUAGCUUGAGGAUGAGAGAGGUGAGUGGAAUUCCCAGUGUAGAGGUGAAAUUCGUAGAUAUUGGGAAGAACACCGGUGGCGAAGGCGGCUCACUGGCUCAUUACUGACGCGCAGGCGCGAUAGCGUGGGGAUCAAACAGG